rnacentral:rRNA from 1 species
UGUGCAGGUGGGGUAAUAAGUCAGUGGUGAAAGCCCCCGACUCAAUCGGGGAACUGCCAUAGAUACUGUUAUUCUUGAGUGUGGUUGAGGUGGAUGGAAUAUGACAUGUAGCGGUGAAAUGCUUAGAUAUGUCAUAGAACACCGAUCGCGAAGGCAGUCCGCCAAACCAUUACUGACACUGAAACACGAAAGUGCGGGAUCAAACA